rnacentral:rRNA from 1 species
GAUGAACGCUAGCGGCAGGCCUAACACAUGCAAGUCAGGGGUAACAUAGGAAAGCUUGCUUUUCUGAUGACGACCGGCGCACGGGUGCGUAACGCGUAUACAACCUACCUUUUAGCGGGGAAUAGCCCAGGGAAACUUGGAUUAAUGCCCCAUAGUAUAUAGACUUCUCCUGAAGUUUAUAUUAAACAUUUAUGGCUAUUAGAUGGGUAUGCGUCCUAUUAGUUAGUUGGUAAGGUAACGGCUUACCAAGGCAGCGAUAGGUAGGGGUCCUGAGAGGGAGAUCCCCACACUGGUACUGAGACACGGACCAGACUCCUACGGGAGGCAGCAGUGAGGAAUAUUGGACAAUGGGCGGGAGCCUGAUCCAGCCAUGCCGCGUGCAGGAAGACUGCCCUAUGGGUUGUAAACUGCUUUUUACAGAGGAAGAACCACCCCCACGUGUGGGGGGUUUGACGGUACUCUGCGAAUAAGGAUCGGCUAACUCCGUG